ensembl:lincRNA Miat myocardial infarction associated transcript (non-protein coding)
AGUUCUGUUAAGAGCUGGGCACAAAGAGCCCUUUGCACUCCAGCCGCAGGAGCGAGGAGGAGCCGAGACCUGGGGCGUCCAGCGCAGCCUCAAACCCAGGGCAUCUCUGCACUCUCAUCGCGACGUCGCUCUGGAUGCUGUUUGCAUAUCCUUGGGGAGUCACUGCUUUGGCACAACAGUCCUGCGAGGUGCUGGAAUUCCGUCUGUUCUCAUCACACGGACAUGGCUGAUCUGUCUCAGUGGUACCUGGGGGCAAAGCAGGGAGCCGGGCGGUGGAGGCCAACAUUGUUACCAAGUUGGCUCUGUCUCAACACAGGGACUGAGCCUUCUGAGCCUCAAGAGUUCCUGCUGGUUCCC